rnacentral:lncRNA from 1 species
ACAGUGAGGCUGAAGAAGACCAAGCAUUUCAAUGACCCUUAGCCCUAACCUCUUGUUGAUUUGUCAGAUUUAACCCUCCCCAUUCUCUACAGCUAGAGUUGGAGUCUGGAAAAUGCAACGGAGAUAUCAGGAUAUGUGUGCAGGGAUUAGUACCUGCCCUGCACUAGGUAUCAUGACCUCUCUAUACCCUUCUCUUGAAGAUCUCGCUGGCUGCCCCUCUGUCUCUGGAGAAGCAAGAGGAGAAAGCAGGCAUCUACAUUGUCCUCCAAUGGCUGGAAGUAUGGUUUUCAAACCCAGAAGCUCCAGGAGGAAAAAUAGUGGUGACAACCAGAAACUUGCAACAUCUCACAAAGAGGAACCCCAAAGAAUGUGGAUUGAGUUAACUAUCAUGGUUCAAGAAGAGCUUCUAACACUUGCUGUUGAUCUAGGGUUCUGCAAAAUGAAGAAGCCAGUGCUAAGGUGA